rnacentral:misc_RNA from 1 species
UGUGAACGUUACCAAACUGUUGCCUCGGCGGGAUCUCUGCCCCGGGUGCGUCGCAGCCCCGGACCAAGGCGCCCGCCGGAGGACCAACCAAAACUCUUUUUGUAUACCCCCUCGCGGGUUUUUUAUAAUCUGAGCCUUCUCGGCGCCUCUCGUAGGCGUUUCGAAAAUGAAUCAAAACUUUCAACAACGGAUCUCUUGGUUCUGGCAUCGAUGAAGAACGCAGCGAAAUGCGAUAAGUAAUGUGAAUUGCAGAAUUCAGUGAAUCAUCGAAUCUUUGAACGCACAUUGCGCCCGCCAGUAUUCUGGCGGGCAUGCCUGUCCGAGCGUCAUUUCAACCCUCGAACCCCUCCGGGGGGUCGGCGUUGGGGAUCGGCCCUCCCUUAGCGGGUGGCCGUCUCCGAAAUACAGUGGCGGUCUCGCCGCAGCCUCUCCUGCGCAGUAGUUUGCACACUCGCAUCGGGAGCGCGGCGCGUCCACAGCCGUUAAACACCCAACUUCUGAAAUGUUGACCUCGGAUCAGGUAGGAAUACCCGCUGAACUUAAGCAUAUCAAUAAGC